AUUGAAUCAUGGGGUCCAGUCCUUCCCCUGCUGUUCUCGUGAUAGUGAAUAAGUCUCACGAGAUCUGAUGGGUUUAUCAGGGGUUUCCGCUUUUGCUUCUUCCUCAUGCUUUUAAUCUUGGUGCCAUCAUGUAAGAAGUGCCUUUCACCUCUCACCAUGAUUCUGAGGCCUCCCCAGAGAUGUGGAACUAAGAUGCAGCAACAAGGUAUCAUCUUGGAAGCAGAGACAGGGCCUUCACCAGACACCAAACCCAAAGAUCCCUUCAUCUUGGACUUUCAGCCUCCAGAACUGUGAGAAAUAAAUUCCUAUUCUUUUAAAAUUA
rnacentral:lncRNA from 1 species